GAAAGAGUGGCCUUUGGACGGAAAUGUCAAACCGUGGAUGUGGAGGCGUAGAUCUCCCAGAUCUGCACUCAUUUCCCACUUAUAUUUGCUCGGUAAUCCGCAGUGGCAGCCCUGAUUCGCCCGGGACCCGGUUUGUGAGGCGAUGCUGUUGACACAGGGUUGGAACUGGGGGACAUCCUCAAACGUUUGAAGCCCCAGUUUGUGUGGAUCAAACGUUUGCCAUCUACGCUGAUGAAGUGCUGCACUAAAACAUCAAAACACUCGUCAUUGUCGGCACUGGUUCGUUUCAAGGCGCGUGCUGCAGACAGAAGAGAGGGGGCCGCUAACCGGAAGCAAAACACCAUAUAAGGGGAUUCCGCAUGGACGCGGGUGUAUACGUUGAAACAAAA
ensembl:lncRNA